rnacentral:rRNA from 1 species
CUCUACGGCCAUACUACCCUGAACAAGCCCGAUCCCGUCUAAUCUCACAAGCUAAGCAGGGUUGGGCCUGGUUAGUACUUGGAUGGGAGACCACCUAGGAAGACCAGGAGCUGUAGCCA